AUGGGGGUGAGGGAGCCGGUGGCGAUGGAGAUACCGGUGGAGGAGGGGGCGGCGGCGAGGGUGCCGCCGCAGAUCAGGAGGAGGCUGCUCGAGGGCAGCACCAGCGGCGGCGGCGGCCCUGCCAGCGCCAAGGAAAUCGAGGCCAAGCUCAAGGAGGCCGACCACCGUAGGCAGCAAUUCUACGAUUGGUUAUCCUGCAAAGCAAGGAAGAAGCCACGGAGCCCAUCGUGGUCAUCUCAAGAGGAAGAUUACGGACAGUACCUUGAAGCCAAGCUUCAGGCAGCUGAGCAGAAAAGGCUAAGCCUCUUGGCAAAGGCACAGAACCGGUUAGCCAAGUUGGAUGAACUCCGACAAGCAGCGAAGAAUGAUGUGGAAAUGCGGAUUGAGAAGGAGAAGGAAGAACUUGAGACUAGAGUCGAGACUCGUGUUCGGCAGGCAGAGGAAAACCGUAUGCACCUUCUGCAUGCAGAUAUGCAGAGGCGGGCCGCACUGAAGGAGAGAACAGAAAGGUCCCUGGUGCAGAAGGCGACAUCUGAGAGCAAGUAUACAGAGCGGGUGCAAUCUGCUAUCCUGGAAAAGCGUGCUGCUGCUGAGAAGAAACGGUUGGCAUUGUUAGAAGCUGAGAAGAGGAAGGCUCACGCUCGGAUCAUGCAUAUUCAACAAGCAGACAUGACUGUAAGCAGCCAGAGAGAAGCAGAGAGGAUUAUAUUGAAAGAACAUCUUGAAAGCAAACUUCAGAGGGCCAAGAGGAAGAGAGAUGAAUAUUUAAAGCAGCGAGGAGGUCCAUGCAGUUCUGCUCAUGCCGACUACAUCAAGCAUGCAGAUUUUCUUUCAAGAAAGCUUGCAAGGUGCUGGAGAAGUUUCGUGAAGUCCAGGAAGACAACACUUGCCUUAGCUCAAGCUUAUGAUGCUUUGGGAAUUAAUGAAAAAUCUGUGAAGUCAAUGCCAUUUGAGGAAUUAGCUAUGCUGAUGGGAUCUUCCACAGUUCUUGAGGCUACUAAGGCAUUACUUGACCGGUUCGAGAGGCGUGUGACUCUUUGUCAGUCAGCAAGUUCAUCAUCUGCAGAAAAUAUUGACCAUCUGCUGAAACGCCUUGUGACUCCAAAGAGGAAGGUACCUCCGAGUAGAGAUGGAAGAACAAGGGUUGCAGCAAAAAGGCCAGCCAGAACUUCUGAAACAAGCAGGUUGUCUAGAUAUUCACUGAGGGUCGCACUCUGUGCUUACAUGAUCCUGGCUCAUCCUAGUGCUGUUUUAAGUGGAGAUGGUGAGCAAGAGACGCUACUCAUGGAGUCAGCAGCAAACUUUGUCAGGGAGUUUGAGCUGUUGGUUAAGACAACACUCGAGGGACCGGGAAGUGCCUCAAGGCAGCCAUUUCUUGAUGCUGCUGAAUCAUGUAGUUACCAGAAGUCUGAUGAUGUUGCCGGUCAAAGUAAAUUCAAGACUCGGCUGGUUAAUUUUGACAAAGCUUGGUGCACCUACCUUUACAGAUUUGUGGUGUGGAAAGUAAAAGAUGCAAGAUCAUUGGAGGGUGAUCUUGUUAGGACUGCAUGCAAGCUUGAGCUGUCAAUGAUGCAAACAUGCAAGUUAACUGCCGACGGGCGGUCACACAACCUCACCCAUGAUAUGAAGGCCAUUCAGAAGCAGGUUUCUGACGACCACAAACUUCUAAGGGAGAAGGUUCAGCAUCUGAGUGGUGAUGCAGGGAUUGAGCGGAUGGACUCUGCUCUCUCAGAUGCAAGGUCAAAGUUCUUCGAAGCAAAGGAGAAUGGAAGUCCAUUGGCCGCACCUGUUGCAAACGUAUCUACUCCUCUGAGCAUUGAUUCAUCUGGAAAGCUCCCGCCUUCUGAGGUCAAUGUUAGUUCCGAAACAGCAUCAAGCAGCACAUCACCAGUGAAUCUGCCUACAGAGAAUGAGCAGAUGGUCAAUGAGAUGCUUCAUGAGGACAGUGGUGUGAUUGCUGGCAAUUCUAAUGAUGCCCGCACCAUCGAGAAGGAUUUCCAAGACAAAGUGAGGGAUACAAUGGAGAAAGCUUUCUGGGAUGUGGUUACUGACUCAAUGAAAGGAGACAAACCUGACUACAGCCAACUGAUCAACCUGGUAAAGGAAGUGAGGGAUUCGUUGCACGACUUGGCUCCCAAGGGAUGGAAGGAGGAAAUCUAUGAGAACAUUGACCUCGAAAUUUUGUCCCAGGUACUCGAGUCAGGCUCCCAGGACACCCAAUAUCUGGGGCAGAUUUUGCAGUACUCUCUGGAUAUGGUCAGAAAGCUGUCUGCUGCUGCAAAGGAUGAUGAGAUGAAGGCAAGUCAUGACAAAUUAUUGAGCGAGUUGGCUGCAAGUUCUGAAGAUAAUGAUAAUGGAGUCAGCUCGUUCGUCAUUGCUGUCAUCAAGGGCCUGCGUUUCACUCUGGAAGAAAUAAAGCAACUGCAAGUAGAAGUGAGCAAGGCAUAUGUUCAGCUGAUGCAACCGAUGAUAAAAGGCUCGGCUGGAGUGGAAUACCUGCAGAAGGCUUUCGGCGAUCGCUGUGGACCUCCUGCUAAUGCGUCAGCUUCUCUCCCUGUAAGUCUGCAGUGGAUUUCAGCAUCAAAGAGCAUCAUGGACGCAGAAUGGAGGGAACAUCUGGGCUCUCUUUCAGUUCUGCCAGCAGCAAAUCAUGCUCAGCCCCUUGUUACAGUGCUCCGAGCUGGCCAUGGAGCUCCAACAGCUGCUGUACCUUCAGCAGGCACUUCAGGUUUACCUGAGUGCAAGGGAGAAAAGGUUGACAAGCUUGUGAGGGUUGGCUUGUUGCAGCUUAUCAGUUGUAUGGAGGGCUUGCAAUUGGAGUCAACUCCUGAGAGCUUCCACCUUAACUUUCUGAGAUUGAGGGCCGUGCAGGGCCAAUUUCAAGAAGUGAUUGUAAUUUCUACGAGCAUGCUCGUCCUGCGUCAAGUCCUGAUGAGUGAGAAUUCUAAGAUCACCCCUCCCGAGCUGGAGGCUGUCAUCUCAGAACUCUUCGGCGCCCUGGCGAAGCUGCUGGAUAACUCCCCGGAGGCAGGCACUGAAGAGAUUGUGGAGGCGAUGAUGAGCGCAUCGGCCUCAGCCGGCUCUUUGUCGGACGCCAAGAUUCAGGCAAGGAGGCAGAUAAUAACCCGGGGGCUCCUGAAGAGCCUCCAAGCGGACGACGUCGUCUUCAAGAAGGUCUCCCGGGCGGUCCACUGCGCCUUCCGUGGCGUCGUCCUCAGUGGCAGCGGCGCCAAGGGCCAGAAGCUGGCGGAUGCGGCCCUGCGCCGUGUCGGCGCAGGGAAGCUCGCUGACCGUGUGGUGAAGGCGGCUGAAGUGCUCAUCAGGGUGGCCACGGUCUCGGAGAAGGUCCAUGGCCCAUGGUACAAAGCGCUCGCCUGA
rnacentral:rRNA from 1 species